GAUGAACGCUGGCGGCGUGCCUAAUACAUGCAAGUCGAGCGAACGGACGAGAAGCUUGCUUCUCUGAUGUUAGCGGCGGACGGGUGAGUAACACGUGGAUAACCUACCUAUAAGACUGGGAUAACUUCGGGAAACCGGAGCUAAUACCGGAUAAUAUUUUGAACCGCAUGGUUCAAAAGUGAAAGACGGUCUUGCUGUCACUUAUAGAUGGAUCCGCGCUGCAUUAGCUAGUUGGUAAGGUAACGGCUUACCAAGGCAACGAUGCAUAGCCGACCUGAGAGGGUGAUCGGCCACACUGGAACUGAGACACGGUCCAGACUCCUACGGGAGGCAGCAGUAGGGAAUCUUCCGCAAUGGGCGAAAGCCUGACGGAGCAACGCCGCGUGAGUGAUGAAGGUCUUCGGAUCGUAAAACUCUGUUAUUAGGGAAGAACAUAUGUGUAAGUAACUGUGCACAUCUUGACGGUACCUAAUCAGAAAGCCACGGCUAACUACGUGCCAGCAGCCGCGGUAAUACGUAGGUGGCAAGCGUUAUCCGGAAUUAUUGGGCGUAAAGCGCGCGUAGGCGGUUUUUUAGUCUGAUGUGAAAGCCCACGGCUCAACCGUGGAGGGUCAUUGGAAACUGGAAAACUUGAGUGCAGAAGAGGAAAGUGGAAUUCCAUGUGUAGCGGUGAAAUGCGCAGAGAUAUGGAGGAACACCAGUGGCGAAGGCGACUUUCUGGUCUGUAACUGACGCUGAUGUGCGAAAGCGUGGGGAUCAAACAGGAUUAGAUACCCUGGUAGUCCACGCCGUAAACGAUGAGUGCUAAGUGUUAGGGGGUUUCCGCCCCUUAGUGCUGCAGCUAACGCAUUAAGCACUCCGCCUGGGGAGUACGACCGCAAGGUUGAAACUCAAAGGAAUUGACGGGGACCCGCACAAGCGGUGGAGCAUGUGGUCUAAUUCGAAGCAACGCGAAGAACCUUACCAAAUCUUGACAUCCUUUGACAACUCUAGAGAUAGAGCUUUCCCCUUCGGGGGACAAAGUGACAGGUGGUGCAUGGUUGUCGUCAGCUCGUGUCGUGAGAUGUUGGGUUAAGUCCCGCAACGAGCGCAACCCUUAAGCUUAGUUGCCAUCAUUAAGUUGGGCACUCUAAGUUGACUGCCGGUGACAAACCGGAGGAAGGUGGGGAUGACGUCAAAUCAUCAUGCCCCUUAUGAUUUGGGCUACACACGUGCUACAAUGGACAAUACAAAGGGCAGCGAAACCGCGAGGUCAAGCAAAUCCCAUAAAGUUGUUCUCAGUUCGGAUUGUAGUCUGCAACUCGACUACAUGAAGCUGGAAUCGCUAGUAAUCGUAGAUCAGCAUGCUACGGUGAAUACGUUCCCGGGUCU
rnacentral:rRNA from 1 species